UUUCCGUAGGUGAACCUGCGGAAGGAUCAUUAUCGUACCAAAUGUGUCAGGCAUGCUCGGGCUGUUGCUGACUCAAAAAGUCGUGCACGCCGGAGGGUGUCCUCUCACAUAAUAAUCCAUCUCACCCUUUGUGCAUCACCGCGUGGGCACCCUUUGGGAUCGGACCGAUCUCGGAAGGGGGCCCGCGUUUUCACACAAACCCCCCCAUCUAAAAGGGUAGAAUGUCCUCAUUUAUGCAAUAAAUACAACUUUCAACAACGGAUCUCUUGGCUCUC
rnacentral:misc_RNA from 1 species